UGACCUGUCUGUUUAGUUGAGAGGUCUGUAGGCUGAGAGGAGAAUAGCAGGAGCUGUGCCUACAGAACCUCCGGAGGAGAGUCAACUUCGGUGAUGAGACUGGACCUUGGGCUGAUGCUGUAGCCGGAUGAGACGUGGAGGCCUGGGGAGGACUGUAACUGAUUUGUGGCAGAAGCUAUCAGGUUGCUGAUUCCUCGUCCCUUUGGUAGCAAGACGUCAAUGAAGCAUCCCAGGUGUCAGCAGCCUCUGCCUGAACCAAAAGGCUGCACUUCUGGCUUUCUGGACCCAGGUCUUAUAAAACCUCAUGUUCACUCAUAGGAGCCUGAUUAUUGAGAGUGGAUGGCACUUCCUGAAACGGUCCGUGUUCUGCUUGUAUGUGAAAAGCAUCAGCACUGUUGUAUACUAAUCUGUGUCCUCCUCCCUUGCUCAGUAUAUAACCUAUUUGUUAUCACAUAUUGACCGUAUCUUCUCUUGGUAUUUCUUUGUAUUAAACCAUGCUUAG